rnacentral:lncRNA from 1 species
CCAAGACUUGUUGGCAAUAUCCUCCCCUGGUUAUCCUGCAGGUUUCCUGUAUUAGUCUGGUGGUAUUUUUACAUGAAUAACCUGUACUGAAAUUUCAAAAUUUACCACCUCUGCACUUGUAAAAGCUUAGAGGGCUGUUAUUUUUUUCCAGUGGUAUUAUCAGAAAUUCCCUUUCCAAGUCUGCUGAGCUCCUGAUGCCCAGGAUGUGAUCUAUCAGAGGGGAAGUGGUCAGUUAUAACAGGAUUUCGUGUUCACUCUGCCAGUUGCCCGGAUAAAAGCAGUGUUUAAUUAUACAGCAGCCCUGAAAGGAGAUGCAGGAGAUCCUCCUGUGAUGGAGAUCGCACCGCUCCCAGAAGGAUGCCAGUGAUGAGGCUGAUUCCUUGCUGGAAAAACCUUUGCUUAUCCAGGGGCAAUUUGGCUGAAUCCACCAUCUUAUUUGACAGCAGGACA